rnacentral:rRNA from 1 species
CUACGGGUGGCUGCAGUGAGGAAUAUUGCACAAUGGGGGGAACCCUGAUGCAGCAACGCCGCGUGGAGGAUGACGCAUUUCGGUGUGUAAACUCCUUUUAUAUGUCAAGGAAAUGACGGUAGCAUAUGAAUAAGCGCCGGCUAACUCCGUGCCAGCAGCCGCGGUAAUACGGAGGGCGCAAGCGUUACUCGGAAUCACUGGGCGUAAAGGACGCGUAGGCGGGUUGAAAAGUCAGGUGUGAAAGCCUACAGCUUAACUGUAGAACUGCACUUGAAACUCUCAAUCUAGAGUAUGGGAGGGGCAGAUGGAAUUAGUGGUGUAGGGGUAAAAUCCGUAGAUAUCACUAGGAAUACCUAAAGCGAAGGCGAUCUGCUGGAACAUUACUGACGCUAAGGCGUGAAAGCGUGGGGAGCAAACAGGAUUAGAUACCCGGGUAGUC